rnacentral:rRNA from 1 species
CCUGCGGAGGGAUCAUUACCGAGUUUACAACUCCCAAACCCCUGUGAACAUACCUAUACGUUGCCUCGGCGGAUCAGCCCGCGCCCCGUAAAACGGGACGGCCCGCCCGAGGACCCCUAAACUCUGUUUUUAGUGGAACUUCUGAGUAAAACAAACAAAUAAAUCAAAACUUUCAACAACGGAUCUCUUGGUUCUGGCAUCGAUGAAGAACGCAGCAAAAUGCGAUAAGUAAUGUGAAUUGCAGAAUUCAGUGAAUCAUCGAAUCUUUGAACGCACAUUGCGCCCGCCAGUAUUCUGGCGGGCAUGCCUGUUCGAGCGUCAUUUCAACCCUCAAGCUCAGCUUGGUGUUGGGACUCGCGGUAACCCGCGUUCCCCAAAUCGAUUGGCGGUCACGUCGAGCUUCCAUAGCGUAGUAAUCAUACACCUCGUUACUGGUAAUCGUCGCGGCCACGCCGUAAAACCCCAACUUCUGAAUGUUGACCUCGGAUCAGGUAGGAAUACCCGCUGAACUUAAGCAUA